ACAGGGAUUGCCCUAGUAACGGCGAGUGAAGCGGCAACAGCUCAAAUUUGAAAUCUGGCGCAAGCCCGAGUUGUAAUUUGUAGAGGAUGCUUCUAGGUAGCGACCGGUCUAAGUUCCUUGGAACAGGACGUCAUAGAGGGUGAGAAUCCCGUAUGUGACCGGCCCGCACCUUCUACGUAGCUCCUUCGACGAGUCGAGUUGUUUGGGAAUGCAGCUCUAAAUGGGAGGUAAAUUUCUUCUAAAGCUAAAUACCGGCCAGAGACCGAUAGCGCACAAGUAGAGUGAUCGAAAGAUGAAAAGCACUUUGGAAAGAGAGUUAAAAAGCACGUGAAAUUGUUGAAAGGGAAGCGCUCACAACCAGACUUCUGGGCGGUGUUCCGCCGGUCUUCUGACCGGUCUACUCACCGUCCCGAGGCCAACAUCAUCUGGGACCGCUGGAUAAGACCUCAGGAAUGUAGCUCCCCCUCGGGGGAGUGUUAUAGCCUGUGGUGAUGCAGCGCGUCUCGGGUGAGGUCCGCGCUUCGGCAAGGAUGUUGGCGUAAUGGUUGUCAGCGGCCCGUCUUGAAACACGGACCAAGGAGUCUAACAUCUAUGCGAGUGUUCGGGUGUCAAACCCCUACGCGUAAUGAAAGUGAACGGAGGUGGGAAGCGUAAGCUGCACCAUCGACCGAUCCUGAUGUCCUCGGAUGGAUUUGAGUAAGAGCAUAGCUGUUGGGACCCGAAAGAUGGUGAACUAUGCCUGAAUAGGGUGAAGCCAGAGGAAACUCUGGUGGAGGCUCGCAGCGGUUCUGACGUGCAAAUCGAUCGUCAAAUUUGGGUAUA
rnacentral:rRNA from 1 species